UACCAGCACCCCGAGUGGUCGGGACGUUUAUUGGGCCUAAAGCAUCCGUAGCCGGUUCUACAAGUCUUCCGUUAAAUCCACCUGCUUAACAGGUGGGCUGCGGAAGAUACUAUAGAGCUAGGAGGCGGGAGAGGCAAGCGGUACUCGAUGGGUAGGGGUAAAAUCCGUUGAUCCAUUGAAGACCACCAGUGGCGAAGGCGGCUUGCCAGAACGCGAUCGACGGUGAGGGAUGAAAGCUGGGGGAGCAAACCGG
rnacentral:rRNA from 1 species